rnacentral:rRNA from 1 species
UACAGAGGUCCCAAGCGUUGUUCGGAUUCACUGGGCGUAAAGGGUGCGUAGGCGGUCGGGUAAGUCUGAUGUGAAAUCUCACAGCUCAACUGUGAAACUGCAUUGGAUACUAUUCGGCUUGAGGUCUGGAGGGGGGACUGGAAUUCUCGGUGUAGCAGUGAAAUGCGUAGAUAUCGAGAGGAACACCAGUGGCGAAGGCGGUUAGCUGGGCAGUUGCUGACACUGAGGCGCGACAGCGUGGGGAGCAAACAGG